rnacentral:rRNA from 1 species
ACGCCGCGUGGGUGAUGAAGUCUCUUGGGACGUAAAACCCUUUCGACGGGGAAGAAACCGCCCGGGUGACGGCACCCGGAGAAUAAGCCCCGGCUAACUCCAUGCC